AGCGAACAUUGGCGGUAGGCUUAACACAUGCAAGUCGAGCGAGGCGUAAUAGUCGAGCGGCGAACGGGUGAGUAAUACAUGGGAAUCUACCCUGAAGUGGGGGAUAACGUUCAGAAAUGGACGCUAAUACCGCAUAAUCCACAUUGGGAAAGCGUUGCAGCGCUUUAGGAUGAGCCCAUGGCUGAUUAGCUAGUUGGUGAGGUAAUGGCUCACCAAGGCGACGAUCAGUAGCUGGUCUGAGAUGAUGAUCAGCCACACUGGAACUGAGACACGGUCCAGACUCCUACGGGAGGCAGCAGUGGGGAAUCUUGCGCAAUGGGGGCAACCCUGACGCAGCCAUACCGCGUGAGUGAUGAAGGUCUUCGGAUUGUAAAGCUCUUUCGGCGGGGACGACGAUGACGGUACCCGCAAAAGAAGUCACGGCUAACUUCGUGCCAGCCGCCGCCGUAA
rnacentral:rRNA from 1 species